CCCUUAGACGUUCUGGGCCGCACGCGCGCUACACUGACCAGUGCAACAAGCAUCCGUCCUUGGCCGACAGGCUCGGGCAAUCUUUGAACGCUGGUCGUGAUGGGGAUAGACUUUUGCAAUUUUUGGUCUUCAACGAGGAAUUCCUAGUAAACGCAAGUCAUCAACUUGCAUUGAUUACGCCCCUGCCCUUUGUACACACCGCCCGUCGCACCUACCGAUUGAAUGGUCCGGUGAAAUCUCGGGACGGCGGCUUGGUCGCUUGCGUCCGACUGCUGAAACUUGAUUAAACCAUAUCAUUUAGAGGAAGGUGAAGUCGUAACA
rnacentral:rRNA from 1 species